UGUCGCAAGUAUCACCUUCCCUGUGUGCGCCGCCCUCUCUCUCCUCCCUAUCUUUCCUUCCUGCUCUUGCAACGUGCGCAUCAAACACCCCGUGAACACGAGAAGCGAUUGCCCCUGAGUCUUUGUGUGUAUGUGUGCGCGUGUCUUUCUGCGUCCCUGCUCCUCAUCAUCUUACCCCCUCCCCGCUUACACCGCCGUCAUCGUCGUUGUCGCAUCACUCAUUUUGUGUGUGUGUGUGUGUGUGUGUGUGUGUGUGUGUGUGUGUGUCUGUGCGUCUUCUUUUAGUUUUGUUUGUGUGUCCACUCUAUACAGACUCCUCUCGAGAUAACACGUGUAUGUAUGUGUAUGUGUGUGUGUGUGUGAAUCUGCUCUCAUUCACCACCAUACCAAUCAUCACAUCUGCCGCUAUCGGUUUGGUCUCCCUCCCUCGCUCUGCCCAGUUUUGCCUUUUCUGCGUGUUUUUCAUGUUUUACUUGUAGUGGGAGAUAGAAGGGCCUGUUCGUGCGUGCGUGUAUUGGCGUUUGUGCGUCACCCAAGAAGUGCCAUAGAAUCUCGCCCAACCAUCGGCACACGCAGAACGAAGAAAAAAGAGAACAGACGUGUACGUGUUGAGAAAAGUGGUUCAACCCUAGUCAGCGAUACGUCACUUGCUCCUCAUCGCCUCCUCUCAUCUCCCCCUCCCCCCUCCUCUUCGCUGCUUUCUUGCGCGAUUCAUCGUGUGUACCUUUACUUGACCAUCAUUGUGUCUCUCCUUCUUUCUGUUUGGUUAUUCGGUGGUAGGUGCUGCUUUAAUCUUUUUUCUUGUCUUAGUGUGCGUGCGUGCGUGCGUACAUCCAAAGACUAAGGCACGUCUGUGUAUAGGCUUUUUAGGCUUAUAUAUCUGUAUAUUUGUUGAUUAGCUGCCUUGUUGCUGUGCGUCUUACGGCUGCCGCCCUCUCUCCUCCCUCCCUCCCCACCCUAUCCGCUUGUCUGGAGCGCUUCUUCGCGUUGUGCUUAUCUUUCUGUAUUUUUCAUUCGUCUAAUUCUUCGGUCUAUUCCUUUCUUUAUCGCCCUGCGCCGUUUGCCACGUCGCUUCGGGCAGGGAGACAUCAACGCAAAUUAAAGGAGAGGACGUUGGAGAGGUAGAGAGGCACGUAUUCACACGCGCGCACAGCACGUUUUUCUUUUUUUUUCGCUUUUUUUGUCUCAUCGCCUCUUGCGUCAAGGAAUCGCAUUCUUCAAGGACGCUUGGGGGCGCGCAUAAGCGUAACGCUGAUCAGUGUUGAGUAGCCGAAGCAGCUGAACGCCCCUAAAUAAAAAAAGAGAAAGAAUGGGAAGCAAACCGAGCAAGCGCACUGACAAGAAGAGCGUCGUCGCCCCGGCGAGUCGUAGUCCGAACUGUACCUCGGAUCGCGGUGCGCUGCGCACCUUCGAUGUGGGCUCUGAUGACGUCAUCGGGGGUCCUCGCGCCUCCAACUCCGUGAACGAGCGGCAGUCACCUGAGCGCCGCGGCUUCAACAACCCUAUGCCAGCUCGUUCAGGCGGGAGCAUUGAUCGUGCGCUAACGCGUCAGACACGCAUGUUGGGGGCCGAAGACCCGGACGGCGCUCACGAAGACCUCGAUGAACGCCCGUUCCACCAGGAGAAGGUGAACCGGGUGCCAACCAAGGCACUGUUGAAGCCGCCGAAGAACCCGGAAUCGAUGAUCGCGGAUCCCGACGAGGACCAAGAGCUCUACUGAGAAGGGUCGUGCUAGUUAGAGCACGGAAUAAACAAGUGUUGCGAGAAUCGGUAUGUUUGUGUGCAUCUUUAUCUGCUCACGCGUCCUUUUCUCUCUCGUUUCUGCCUCUGCCUUUUUGAUUGUGGUGUGAGUUGCUGUAUCCUGUCUAUGUAUUCCAUUCGGCCCUGUUCUUCUUUUUCCUUUCUGGCUUUGCCCCCCCUCCCCCUUCUUCCCCAUCUGCUUGGCUAUCACAUACAUAUGCACACACAUACACCCCUUACACGUAUGUAUGUGUGUGUAG
rnacentral:misc_RNA from 1 species